rnacentral:rRNA from 1 species
GACGAACGCUGGCGGCGUGCUUAACACAUGCAAGUCGAACGGAAAGGCCCUGAUCUUGUGGGGUGCUCGAGUGGCGAAAGGGUGAGUAACACGCGAGUAACACGCCCCUGACAUUGGGAUAAAUCUAGGAAACUGGGGCUAAUACCGGAUAGGAGCUCCUGCUGCAUGGUGGGGGUUGGUAAGUUUCGGCGGUUCGGGAUGGACUGGCGGCUUAUCAGCUUGUUGGUGGGGUAGUGGCUUACCAAGGCUUUGACGGGUAGCCGGCCUGAGAGGGUGACCGGCGACAUUGGGACUGAGGUAGGGCGCAGUCUCGUACGGGAGGCAACGGUGGGGAAUAUUGCGCAGUAAGCGGAAGACUGAUACAACCACCCCGCGAGCGUGAUGACGGCUUUUGGGUUGUAAACCGCUUUGGACUGUGACGAAGCGGGAGUGACGGUAACGGGUAAGGAAGCACCGGCUAACUACGUG